UCGGAUAUUUCUGUAUCCAAAACUGAAAGCAGCAAUUCUGAAACUGAAGCGGCAGCGAGGACAAUUUUAUACCAGAAUGGAGUAAAGAGUUUUUAAAUAUUUUUAUUAACAAUUUUUCUGAAGAGACAGUGUCUACUCAUAGUCUUUCUCAGGAAGUGAAACUGUUAGACAUUUUUUCUUAUCUUUUCCAGUAAGCUUGUUUGAAGCUAUCACUGCAGAAACAAACCAUUACACAGAAUAUAAAUAAACUGGAAAAAAAGAUAAUUUAUGGUUUCCUACACCAUAGAAGAAAUACAGGCAUUUUUUGCCAUAAAUACUAUUAUGGAUAUAAGACAAUUAGCCAGAAUUACAAAUUACUGGAGCAAUCAGGAACCUUUUGGAGGUAAACAUAUUCUCCAGUAUCAUGAACAA